AACCAGCUCUUCAAGUGGUCGGGAUAAUUAUUGGGCUUAAAGUGUCCGUAGCCGGUUUGGUAAGUUCCUGGUAAAAUCGGAUAGCUUAACUAUCUGCAUGCUAGGAAUACUACCAUACUAGAGGGCGGGAGAGGUCUGAGGUACUACAGGGGUAGGGGUGAAAUCUUAUAAUCCUUGUAGGACCACCAGUGGCGAAGACGUCAGACUGGAACGCGCCUGACGGUGAGGGACGAAAGCCAGGGGAGCGAACCGGAUUAGAUACCCGGGUAGUCCUGGCUGUAAACGAUGCAUACUAGGUGAUGGUACGGCCAUGAGCCGUAUCAGUGCCGUAGGGAAACCGUUAAGUAUGCCGCCUGGGAAGUACGGUCGCAAGGCUAAAACUUAAAGGAAUUGGCGGGGGAGCACCACAAGGGGUGAAGCCUGCGGUUU
rnacentral:rRNA from 1 species